rnacentral:tRNA from 1 species
GGAAUCGUGACCGAGUGGCCGAAGGUGCUCCCCUGCUAAGGGAGUAUGGGUCUUAAAAAUCCAUCGAGGGUUCGAAUCCCUCCGAUUCCUCCA